CGAGUUUGCUGGGCAAUCGCGCCGUAUGGCGAGGAAAGUCCGGGCUUCAUAGGGUAAAAGGCUGGGUAACGCCCAGGCGGCGCGAGCCGACGGAAAGUGCCACAGAAAAUAUACCGCCGUUAUCACGGUAAGGGUGAAAUGGUGCGGUAAGAGCGCACCGCGUUUUUGGCGACAAAAACGGCAGGGAAAACCCCCUUCGAAGCAAGUUCAAAUAGGAAAUCAAUGCGGCGACCCGUCGCGAUUUCGGGUAGAACGCUAGAAAUUGGCAGUAAUGCUAAUUCCAGAUGAAUGAUUGCCCUCGACAGAACCCGGCUUAUAGGCGAACUCAUCUG
rnacentral:RNase_P_RNA from 1 species